GACGAACGCUGGCGGCGUGCUUAACACAUGCAAGUCGAACGGAAAGGCCCUGCUUGCAGGGUACUCGAGUGGCGAACGGGUGAGUAACACGUGGGUGAUCUGCCCUGCACUUCGGGAUAAGCUUGGGAAACUGGGUCUAAUACCGGAUAGGAGCCAUCUUUAGUGUGGUGGUUGGAAAGUUUUUUCGGUGUAGGAUGAGCUCGCGGCCUAUCAGCUUGUUGGUGGGGUAAUGGCCUACCAAGGCGGCGACGGGUAGCCGGCCUGAGAGGGUGUACGGCCACAUUGGGACUGAGAUACGGCCCAGACUCCUACGGGAGGCAGCAGUGGGGAAUAUUGCACAAUGGGCGCAAGCCUGAUGCAGCGACGCCGCGUGGGGGAUGAAGGCCUUCGGGUUGUAAACUCCUUUCGCUAGGGACGAAGCUUUGUUGUGACGGUACCUAGAUAAGAAGCGCCGGCUAACUACGUG
rnacentral:rRNA from 1 species